GAAGGGGGUGGGGAGGGUAAUUCUCAGCGUCUGCCUCAAUUUCUCUAGAUGUGUGUUUCUCUACACUGUCCCUCCUGAAGGGCUACCUCCUUUAGCCCUUUUUCUUUUCUCUCAUUUCUGUGUCUCUGUGUUUCUCCAUUUUCCUCUCCAGGCAUCUUACCCCCUCCCCAGAGUUUCCUGCCCCCCCUCCCCCCUGCACCGUGGCCUCCCAAGACCACCCGCUUUGUUUCCUGGCUUCCUGUGGACGUCCUGAGUGUGUUUCUCUGAGUCCCUAUCAGCGUUCUGAGUUUUUGCGGCCUUUCUCGGAGCUUUGUGUCAGAGCGUGUUUCUCUUUUUCUCCGUGUAUUUUUCUCUGUGUGUUUCAGGAUAAGUUUUUGCCUCUUUCUCUGUCUUUGUGUAAGCGUGUGGGUAGGUCUUGGUUUCUUGGCGCGUGUGUGUGUGUGUGUGUGUGUGUGUGUGUGUGUGUCCCCCACCCUCUUCACCGCCAAGGGGCUCUAAAUCCACCAGGAUAAAACAGCCCCGAGCCUCCGCCUCCUUCCUUCCCCUGCCGGGAACACCCUUCCCAACACCCAGGUCGGAAGAAGGGACCCUCGGCCCGGCCCGGCGCGAGGCUCGCAGGGCUCCCAGGCGCGCAGCUCCUACUUUGCCCAACUUGUGGGCGCCCGGGCUGCAGCGCGCGGGCUCCGCGGCCCCAACAAAGAUUUCCAGCUUCUCUGGGAAAUUCAGAAGAUCUCUCAAAACACAGCCCAUAUGGCAUGGGUAGGAAUGAUUCAAAGUUCUGGGUAGGACUCCUCUCUGUCUCCAACACGGGAGGUGAGGCACAAGCAGUACCCUUCCUUCCAAUACGUCUACACGCAAGGAGGUUUUCUCAAAAAAGCUGGCCUGGAUUGUCCAUCAUGGAGUUGCUCCCCGGCCUCUCUCCUUCCUGGUUCAGAGCAGAUACCAGCGGCUGGAGAAGGUCACACAGCAAGAUGGGCUUUGCCAUUGGUUCGUGAUCACAGGCUGAACACAGGCACUCCAUUGCUGGUGAGCCAUCUGUCCCCAGGGACCCAGGUCUCACUCUCCUGCUCCCUUAGACAACAGCUUCAUUUCACCAACCCCCUCACAGCCCUCUUCCACUCUCACUGGCUUCCUUCUGAAAGAAAAAAUGCAGUGCCUUCUUCACCCUUUGAUCAUGAAAUCUCUAUACUUACCAGUGUUUUUACUCAUUCUUUUGUCUUCUGCUUCUGCUCUGAAUCCUACCCCCUCCUUCUCAAGGUCCUGGACCCUUUGCCUUCUUCUAUGUUCUUCUGACUUACUAUCUCAGCCCAUCCUGCAGAAUUCCCAUCAGCAAACGAUUGAGCUCAUCUUAAAUACUGCUGUCUGCAUACCAAGUGCCUCUGUCUACCCGCCCAUGUCUCUGUUCCCUCUCAGCACUAAAAUUCUCCUUAUGUCUCAAUGCUAUCCAAAAAGCUGUCUCUUCUGGCUACCUCCAUUCAUUCUUCUGCCUGCUCAGAUCUGCCUGAUGCCCUGCCUUGCUCCAGAGAGUUGACUUUUCAAGGUCACUAUGAUCUCCGUGUCGCCAAAUGCCCUGGAUGUCCAUGUCUCUUUUUGACAGCAGUCUCUAACCCUGGGGCUGAAGAUGGGAGAGUUGGUGAGUACAUGGUGUAAUGGGUUAAGCUGUGUCCUCCAAAAAGACAAUGGGUAAGUUCAAGUGGGAAGAAGCAUACCUAAGAAAAAUUUUAAAGCCAUACAAAAUAAGCAUUACACACACAAGACAAAAUGCCUUUAUUUUUUCCCCACAAAUUAAGUCAGAGGCUAAAAGCACAGGACCCAGAGACCACCUAUGUAGCACCAAGACUCCUGUUGCAACAGGUCCUUAUCUGAUACCUCGUCUUCCGACUCAGCCCUCUGACAUAUCUGAUUAUUUUUGACAAGUGCAAUCACCUCAACAACAGAGCCAUUCAGAACAUUUCAUCGAUACAGAAGCUCUUCCAAGAGGAUCUCUGUUUAACUGCUCCAGGGAUCUCUCUGCUGGUGAUGGCUUUUCUGUGGUUGUAGAAGGACAAUCUAACCACCUCCAGGCGAACCCGUUCCAGCAGCCAGUCCUCCAAAGAGCCCAGUGCAUCCGAGAUCCAGGAGCACCCACUGAAGUCUGGAGAGAGUGACCACUUUGACCUGACGGCCAUUAAUUUACCAGGCAACACGGAUCUCCGCAGUGAUUCCUUGUACGUGUGUGACCCCAGGUGUUCUUAUUAUAGUGGUUCUUGGCCACAAAGAUUUCCAUUCAAAAGGACUGAGCCUGGGAUCCUGGAAGCUGCAUCUUUUGCUAAAGCGUCCCAGGAGAUGAAUACUGCCAAAGCUCACCAGUUGAGAAACUCUGGGUGAACGGCAGGAGGAGAGGGAGUUUGGGGGACAGAUUAGAAGAUGUCACCUUGGGAAUGAUGUCACACUGUUCCUGGAGUGUCAGCACUAUAGAUACUAAUCGAAUAUUAAUGGUGGAUGAUAUUAGUACCGAAUAGUUGCUACUUUGUCAGGUGGAGGUAAGAAAAGAAUCCAAAUUUUUCCCAGCCCCAGCAAUAUCUUAUUUAACCUCUACACCAAGCUUUUAUUUUUUUAUUUAUUUUUUAUUUUUUGUAUUUUGAAUUUCCAGUUUUUUGUUUGUUUAUUUUUAAUGUAGGUUUUAAAUUUAUACCCAAGUU